UAAAGCGAAUAGUGAAAUCUGGGGGCUCAACCUCACAGGCUAUUAUUCGAACUCACUGACUCGAGAACAGCAGAGGUAACUGGAAUUUCUGAAGUAGGGGUAAUAUCCGUAGAUAUCAGAAGGAACACCCAUGGCGUAGGCAGGUUACUGGGCUGUUUCUGACGCUAAGGCACGAAAGCGUGGGGAGCGAACCGGAUUAGAUACCCGGGUAGUCCACGCCGUAAACGAUGGAUACUA
rnacentral:rRNA from 1 species